rnacentral:rRNA from 1 species
GCUUACGGCCAUACCACCCUGAGCACGCCCGAUCUCGUCUGAUCUCGGAAGCUAAGCAGGGUCGGUCCUGGUUAGUACUUGGAUGGGAGACCGCCUGGCAAUACCAGGUGCUGUAAGCU